rnacentral:rRNA from 1 species
GGCCCUAUGGGGUGCAGCAGGCGCGAAACCUUUACAAUGCACGAAAGUGUGAUAGGGGAAUUCCAAGUGCCAAUACAUUGUAUUGGCUUUUUUUGAGUGUAAGAAUCUUGAAGAAUAAGUGGUGGGAAAGACUGGUGCCAGCCGCCGCGGUAACACCAGCGCCACGAGUGGGAGUCACUUUUAUUGGGCCUAAAGCGUCCGUAGCCGGUUUAGUAAAUCCUUUGUGAAAUUGUCAAGCUUAACUUGGCAAAUUGCAGGGGACACUGCUAAACUAGAGACCGGGAGGAGUUGAAGGUAUGUUUGGGGGAGCGGUAAAAUGCUAUAAUCCCUUACAGACCACCUGUGGCGAAGGCGUUCAACUAGAACGGAUUUGACGGUGAGGGACGAAAGCCAGGGGAGCGAACCGGAUUAGAUACCCGAGUAGUCCUGGCUGUAAACUCUGCGAGCUAGGUGUUGCAUAUUCUCCGUGAAUGUGCAGUGUCGAAGCGAAGGUGCUAAGCUCGCCGCCUGGGAAGUAUGGUCGCAAGACUGAAACUUAAAGGAAUUGGCGGGGGAGCAC